UCCCUUGUAGCUCAGUUGGUAGAGAAUCUACCUGCGAAGCAGGAGACCCAGGUUUGAUUCCUGGAUUGGGAA
rnacentral:tRNA from 1 species